GAUAAAAGUUCUAAUACGUGUUCAGGAUUGUACCGGGAUCGUUACUUUGACGUUGUUUGAACGUGAAGUUGUUAAACUGAUAAAGGUUAACGCAAACCAGCUGUUGGAUAAAAACAUGGAGUUAGCCAGCGAAGGUAACUUUCCCAAGGAGCUGAAGGCAUUGCUAAAUAGGAGGUUUGCAUUUAAGAUAGCCAUAGGUUCAUUUAACAUAAAAAAACAAAUCAGAUGGCUACUCGGUGUCAAAGUUGAUUGAAAAUCCUGCAAUCAUCAAAGAUCUUGAUAGGCAUUUUGAUGCUUUCCAGUCUGCUGAUGAUGAACCUUUAAAUGAUGUUCCUUCUGAUUCAAAUCCAACUGUUAACAUCCAAAUCCGGGAUUCUGUUUCCCGUACCGGUGAUGACGACACGCCGAUGUCCAAUUUGAACAAUAGCAUGUUUACUACACCCUCCGGAGCGGAUAAUUGUUGUUCUUCGAAGAUGCUGGGGAAUGAACUUAAGCGUAAUUUGGAUGCCGUUUAUGAUGUGGAUUUAUGUUCAUCUCAAUCUUCAACUAAACCACGUACGGGUGAUUGUGAGAACAAUGAAGGUUUGAAUGUGAAGGUGGGUCUUUUGAAUCCAAAUCUGGAAAAGUAGUCUCAGAAUCUAAUAAACAUCUCAGUUUCUUCAAACAAGUUUUCAAUGUUUUUUUU